CCCCGGCAGAAACUACUCUGCUUCUUUGGAUUUGCAAUCC
rnacentral:tRNA from 1 species